AUCGAGCGAAAAAAAAAGCCUCCGAACGUGCAUAAGCACCAUUUGCGCGUAUAAGUGAGCCAUAUAGUGAGUUGCACACUAAUGUGGUGAUGUGAUAGCAGUCAGCCGUGUUUUUGGCAGAUAAUUGCAUGUAAUUUGCUAUGUGUUGAGGGGAAAUAGGUGCCAUGUUGGGCUAGAUAUGCCGCUAGCGCUUAUUUUCCCGUUAUUUCGUAACAACGGUGUCCAAUUUGGCGUCUACGCUUCACCGAGCUAUCGCCUGGACCGUCGGUAGCGAUGAAAGGUGGAGAGAAAGCUCCUCGUUUCGAGUCGAGUAGACUUAAUGAGCCUCAGCUAGGAGGCCGCCAAAACCCAAAAAAACACAACCACUUUUAAAAAUCUAUUCGAAUGAAAGAUGCUAAAUUUGUUUAGUAUCUUCGAAUCGAGAUAUAU
rnacentral:misc_RNA from 1 species